GUGUCAGCAGCCGCGGUAAUACGUAGGGGGCGAGCGUUGUCCGGAUUCAUUGGGCGUAAAGCGCGCGCAGGCGGCUUCGCAAGUCGGCCGUGAAAUCUCCCAGCUCAACUGGGAGGGGUCGGGCGAGACUGCGGAGCUCGAGGUGGGUAGAGGACCGUGGAAUUCCGGGUGUAGUGGUGGAAUGCGUAGAGAUCCGGAGGAACACCAGUGGCGAAGGCGGCGGUCUGGGCCUGGCCUGACGCUGAGGCGCGAAAGCGUGGGGAGCGAUCCGGAUUAGAUACCCGGGUAGUCC
rnacentral:rRNA from 1 species